GUUUAAAUAGCUUAAAGUUUAUAGGAGAGCAUAAUGUUGAAGGCAUUGAAGUGAUAAAAUUAUCUUUAAAUA
rnacentral:tRNA from 1 species